rnacentral:misc_RNA from 1 species
GAAAUGUGAUAAGUAGUGUGAAUUGCAGAAUUCAGUGAAUCAGCGAAUCUUUGAACGCACAUUGCGCCCCUUGGUAUUCCAUGGGGCAUGCCUGUUCGAGCGUCAUUUGUACCCUCAAGCUCUGCUUGGUGUUGGGUGUUUGUCCCCGUCUCCGCGCGUGGACUCGCCCCAAAGUGAUUGGCAGCCGGCGUACUGGUCCCGGAGCGCAGCACAUGUCGCGCAAACGAGUGCCUUGGUACGGCGGCGUCCAUAAGCCCCUCUCUCACGCUCUUGACCUCGGAUCAGGUAGGGAUACCCGCUGAACUUAAGC